rnacentral:rRNA from 1 species
GUACUAAGGUAGCAUAAUCAAUUGUCUUUUAAUUGAAGAAUGGAAUGAAAGAAUUAAUGAAAUAUAUACUGUCUCAAUUAUAAAAAUUAAUUUAAAUUUUUAGUUAAAAUGCUAAAUUUAAAUUAUGGGACGAUAAGACCCUAUAGAAUUUUAUAUUAAAUUAUUUAUAAUAAUUAGUUAUUAAAUUGUUAUAAAUAAUUUAAUAUUUAAUUGGGAGGAUUUAUAAAUUUAAUAAACUUUAUAUUAAUAAUUAAACUUUGAUUUAAGAAAAUUUAAUUUGAUAUAGUAGUAUUAAUUAGAAAAAAAAAUUACCUUAGGGAUAACAGCGUAAUAUCUUUUUAAAGUACAAAUUAAUAA